CACACCUUUUCUUCCCUCCCACCUUCCUGCCCUUUCUCUCCCAUAAGUAGGAAUCUUUGCUCCUUUUCUCUUUAGAAGACAGUUUCUAGUUCCCCAGUGCUCAGAGAAUAUCACUGACACACAUCUCUUGACAUCCUGGCCACUUUUGGGGAACAUACGGUUUCAAGAUGUUUCCUUUUUCGUUUGUGCUUCAUGGCUCAGGUGCCUUCCUCCCUGGAACUCUGCUGCCAGAGGUUCAAGUGAUGACAGCCAAGAAGCAGGCCAGUAUAUUCAAGAACAGCAGACAACUGAAUUGGCUGUCUCCUCACUCACUCUCUGACUGACUGGCCUGGGCCGUGCUUAAGUACAGUACACCAGUAGGGCCAUUAUGACGACCAGUGUGCUGAGUAUUGGGGGAAAAAAAUGCAAAAUUGGAAACUCAGCUGUACUCGGGAGAGAGAUCCUGUACAUGAUGCUGACGGAAAAACAUGCAAAUAGAAGCAAAGGAAAAAAAAUAAGCAUCCCGGCAACAGAUCAAAUGGGACUGAAGCAACUCAGGAAAGGAUAUAUGUGAUGAGUUUAGAAGCCAAAUGAAAAAUGGUCGACUUAUCUGCACCCGAGAAAGUGACUCUGUCCAUGGUCCAGACUGCAGGACAUGUGGCAAUAAGUGCACUAUGUGUAAGGAACAGCUGGAAAGAGAAGCAGCCGAAAGAAAAAAGAAAGACAAGGAGAACACGGGAAGCACAGGAGAGAAGAACAACGAAAAGCAGGUUUUGACGGGAUCAGUGCCAUGAAUUCCGGGACAUGGUGAGAAACUGAAAGCUGGUGUGCACUGCAGACUAUGAUCCUGUUCGAGGUCCAUAUGACAAGAUGCACCCCAACAAGUGUGCCACGUGUCAGAGCAUGUUGUACUUUGAGCGAGAAGUUAACAAAAGAAAAAAGAAUGAAGAAACAUCAAGUGCCAAGCCCUCAAAGUAUGCAAAGGUUAUUUCUUAGAAGCUACGAAGAUAACUGUUUUACUGCUCAUCCUCAGAAUCUUGAAUGCUACUCCAGUUUUAGGAUAAUAAAGAUGCCAGUCUUUUGCUUCAAAGAAAAUUCAUUUUGCCAAUAUUGUCACUUUGGGAUACAAUAAGAUUUUUUUUUUCUGGAUUUGACUCUAAUUGUGUUUCUCAGUUUUGUAGAGAAUUCUCCUCCUGUGUGUGUCAAUCAUCGUUUUAGUCUCUCCUCGGAAGCAAUGUGAGUUGACAAAUAGUAAAAUUCUUUACCAGCGCAAGUGCAUGCUUGCUUAUCUCUGACACUAUACGUGGAGUGAGGCUUCAGGUGGCUUGGUGACGUUGAUUUUAAUGAUUCAGGUAAUAAAUUAAACCAAAGCAUGCACUGUAGCUUCUUUCCUUGAUGUCUUUUUCUGUUUUCUACAGAUGGUUUUCUCAGUGUCAGUGAAUCGAUAGUGUGUGUGCAUGAUGCUGCCUUUCCUGUCUGCUUUUCAAGACUGCAAAGAACAUGUCUGUAUUCAGUCCUUAAUAAUGAUUAUCACAUUUAUAGAGUUAGGUUCUUGUGGAUUGCCCUUUGGUCAAGAGUGCACCCCACAUGGAGAACGAGGGAAAUGAAGGAUGGGAGGGAGCGGCGAGGGAGAUGAGGAGCUCUGUGACGUGCUGUUUGGUGUUUCCUUGCAUUUCUAGGACCUGUGCAGAAAGGUUCAGGGUGAGGCGGAGGGUGGAACCUCGAAGAUCUCUUCACCAACUUUCAUGUAUAUCAUACAGUAUUAUUAGCUAUAAUCACCAGGCUGUAUAUUAGGUCCCCAGAACUUAUUAAUCUUGUAACUGAAAGUUUGUAUCCUUUGAUCAGUGCCUCCCCAUUUUCCCCAUUUUGUU